GAUGAACGCUGGCGGCGUGCCUAAUACAUGCAAGUCGAACGCUGGAAAUCUAGCUUGCUAGAUUGAAGGAGUGGCGAACGGGUGAGUAAUACAUAAGCAACCUACCCACGAAGACUGGGAUAAUCUCUGGAAACGGGGACUAAUACCGGAUAGGUAAUCGGAAGGCAUCUUCUGAUUAUUAAAGGUUAAAAACACUGGUGGAUGGGCUUAUGGCGCAUUAGUUAGUUGGUGAGGUAACGGCCCACCAAGACGAUGAUGCGUAGCCGGCCUGAGAGGGUGAACGGCCACAUUGGGACUGAGACACGGCCCAGACUCCUACGGGAGGCAGCAGUAGGGAAUUUUCGGCAAUGGGGGAAACCCUGACCGAGCAACGCCGCGUGAGUGAUGACGGCCUUCGGGUUGUAAAGCUCUGUUGUAAGGGAAGAACGGUAGAUAGAGAAUAUCUAAAUGACGGUACCUUACCUGAAAGCCACGGCUAACUACGU
rnacentral:rRNA from 1 species